AACGCACAUUGCGCCCUUUGGUAUUCCAAAGGGCAUGCCUGUUCGAGCGUCAUUUGUACCCUCAAGCUUUGCUUGGUGUUGGGCGUCCUUGUCUCUCACGAGACUCGCCUUAAAAUGAUUGGCAGCCGACCUACUGGUUUCGGAGCGCAGCACAAUUCUUGCACUUUGAAUCAGCCUUGGUUGAGCAUCCAUCAAGACCACAUUUUUUAACUUUUGACCUCGGAUCAGGUAGGGAUACCCGCUGAACUUAA
rnacentral:misc_RNA from 1 species